GACGAACGCUGGCGGCGUGCUUAACACAUGCAAGUCGAACGGAGUGGCGAACGGGUGAGUAACACGUGGGUGAUCUGCCUUGCACUCCGGGAUAAGCUCGGGAAACUGGGUCUAAUACCGGAUAGUGCAAGAUGAGCUCGCGGCCUAUUAGCUUGUUGGUGGGGUAAUGGCCUACCAAGGCGUCGACAGGUAGCCGGCCUGAGAGGGUGUACGGCCACAGUGGGGCAGAGAUACCGCCCAAACUCCUACGGGAGGCAGCAGUGGGGAAUUUUGCGCAAUGGGCGGAAGCAUGAUGGAGCGACGACGCGUGGGGGAUGAAGGCCUUCGAGUUGUAACCACCUUUCGACAGGGACGCGGUACCUGUAUAAGGAGCACCGGCUAACUACGUGCCAGCAGCCGCGGUAAUAC
rnacentral:rRNA from 1 species